rnacentral:lncRNA from 1 species
AAUAGUUUUACUUUAUUUAACGCUACCAGUAGGGGAAAUUUUUAACAUCAACACCCAACAAGCCUGGCCCUUUGGGCUUCAGAAAUCAACCCCCCCUCCUUAUAUAAUACACACAGCACUUUACCUCCGAAAACGGUUUCUGACGAUGACCCGGAUAUCAAAAUUAGGAAACAGCCAGAAAGCAUUUCCUUUCUUUUAUGUUUCCUGCCAGUUGCCCUCCCUGAGUCUUUUCAUUUAUCCUGGCAGAGGUUUGUCUCUUUGCCUUUAAAAGUUAAAUCCACCUUCAUCGCACAAUGUGGAAAGAAGCGAAAUUAAACGGCAGUGUGUUCCAGAGGAGAAAAUCGACUUUAUUCAUCUCUCGGCCCUCCUUUAACUCACACUGACCUAAUUACAGCCGCCCCGGGAGAGCGCGCGAGCCGAGGACCGCUCCUGCCCCCGCGCGGCCACCGCCCUGCACUGCGGCCCACGCCUCCACCUUUUCCCUUUAUUUUCCAGAUGUCUUGCACCCGCGUGCAAAUGACCUUCUCUAGUCUCUGCGUGAACACUGAGAAUAUGCAUCACACACGGCUCUGUUCCUUCGGAGAAUUAAAAUGUAAUGGUCUUCUAAAGAAACUCUAUUUAGAGAAGGUUGAAUUAAUGGCUUUUAAGAUGAACGACAGCUUGAAAACUAUAUUAAGACUCUAUGACAUUUCAUAAAAGUUAAAGUGAAAAUGAUAAUGCAAAUAUUCAUAGCCAUUAAAGCGAUCUUUUAAAUAUUAUGGAUGGAAUUUAAAAUUUAGGGAGGUUAGCACGUCCCCCGCUAAAUCAAUUUUCCGUCCUUGCAGCAACUGCAUGAUUUAGCUGGCUGAACGAUUUCUUCAGUGCAGCCACUGGCUUGUUUAUUUGUUUGCUUUCAGGAGUGGUGGUGGACAUUUAAGAAUGCUUCGUUCUCUUUUUCUGGCUUCAUUAACGAGUUAUUGAUCAGUUACUUGAAAGAAAAACUUGGAUGAAAAAUGUAGUCGGCCUUAAAUCACCAAUGCUAAUUAGAACCAGGAGAAGGAAGGAAAAUGAAAGGUACUCACAAUGCCCACUUCUCAGGGUAGCGACCUCCCCCUCCGCCAGAGCAUUAAGGCAGCAGCCACGGCUCAGCCUGGCAUUCCUGCCUACCUCACAGAGCAGGGAAACGCCAGCGCAGGAGUCCCUGCGGAUAGAAAAGGAAGGAAUCUGCUGUGCACAGAGUGGGCAAUCAAUUCUGGAAUCAUUAGGAGAGCCUGUGUCCAGAAAGAUGAAAUGCCAAAGGCCCAGACCUUCAGUAACUGUGGAGUGA